rnacentral:lncRNA from 1 species
UUUGUGUUUCAGCCCCCUGGUUUCCAUAACUACAGUUAAACGAUUGAGGAGCAGCGUUAGCACUGACUAGCUGUAAACUCCAGCCUUUUACUACUCAGAUAUGAAGCUCCCCAGAUAAAAAUAACGUGUAUUAAUCAUACUUAAACUCUAGCGAGGGUAGUUAACAGACUGUUAUAGGGUUUACUGUGCAGUAAACAUGGCUGAAAAACGAGUUGUUCCGAGCGGUAAGGUGUACAGACAGAUGUUUGAUGCCCAGGCUCAUUUAUCAUUGUCUCUUCAUGAAUCUCGGAGGAGGCGUGUUACUAAAGAAGGUUACUUUAGUGGAGAUGACCCUGUGAGCAGGGACACAGACAGUGGCCCACACCAGUCCACUGGGGCUAACCAGUGCUCGGAAGACAAAAGGAACCAGCAGUUUUCACGCAACAGGCCUUCAAGGACUGAGCAUCAGGUUGAGGCUGAAGAGGUUCAAGGACUGCCUGAUAAUGUUGUUUCAGCAAAGACAGGCUCUGACAUCAUUACACGUCUCGCAGAGAAAAAACAAAGGGAUCACUCAGAAGCCGUUGCUCAGCUCCAGAGAGACCUCUCUAUGAUCAGUGCGAGGUUUGAGCCAUUACUGAAACAGACCGGAGAAGGUCUCCUUCUCAGACUGUUGGAAUCUGAUGACGAGCUGGCAAAACUUAUGCAGAAAACAGAAAAUGUUGAUGACUUGGGGGCAUUUAGCUAUGAGGUGAGGAAAAUAACAAGCAACAAUGUUAUAACUGUACAAGUAAGAGUAGUCAGAUGAAAAAAAAAACCCAAAAUGUUAAAUUCUAGAGAAAAAUAUGAAUUCUCGAGAUUUCAACUUGUUAUUCCCACAGUGUCC